CCUACGGGAGGCAGCAGCAGGGAAUCUUGCGCAAUGGGCGAAAGCCCGACGCAGCAACGCCGCGUGGGGGAUGAAGGCCUUCGGGUUGUAAACCCCUUUCAGGAGGGAAGAAAAUGACGGUACCUCCAGAAGAAGCCCCGGCCAACUACGUGCCAGCAGCCGCGGUAAU
rnacentral:rRNA from 1 species